rnacentral:rRNA from 1 species
ACGGGGUGCAGCAGGCGCGAAAACUUUGCAAUAAGCGAGAGCUUGACAGGGCUAUCCCGAGUGCCAUCCGCUGAGGAAGGCUUUUACCCAGUCUAGUAAGCUGGGGGAAUAAGGAGAGGGCAGGUCUGGUGUCAGCCGCCGCGGUAAUACCAGCUCUCCGAGUGGUGUGGAUGUUUAUUGGGCCUAAAGCAUCCGUAGCUGGCCAAGUUAGUCCCCUGUUAAAUCCACCGAAUUAAUCGUUGGUGUGCGGGGGAUACUGCUUGGCUAGGGGACGAGAGAGGCAGACGGUAUUUUCGGGGUAGGGGUGAAAUCCUAUAAUCCCGGGAAGACCACCAGUGGCGAAGGCUGUCUGCUAGAACGCGCCCGACGGUGAGGGAUGAAAGCUGGGGGAGCGAACCGGAUUAGAUACCCGGGUAGUCCCAGCUGUAAACGAUGCAGGCUAGGUGUUUGGACGGCCACGUGCCGUUCUAGUGCCGCAGGGAAGCUGUUAAGCCUGCCGCCUGGGGAGUACGAUCGCAAGAUUGAAACUUAAAGGAAUUGGCGGGGGAGCAC